ACAACAUUUGGACCGUCGGUCUACCAAAGCAAUAUCACACAUUCGGUAGAUGAUUUUCUCUUUGUCAU
rnacentral:pre_miRNA from 1 species